rnacentral:rRNA from 1 species
UACGGGGGGAGCAAGCGUUGUUCGGAUUUACUGGGCGUAAAGGGCGCGUAGGCGGCCACUGCAAGUCAGUUGUGAAAUCUCCGGGCUUAACCCGGAAAGGUCAACUGAUACUGCAGGGCUAGAGUGCAGAAGGGGCAACUGGAAUUCUCGGUGUAGCGGUGAAAUGCGUAGAUAUCGAGAGGAACACCUGCGGCGAAGGCGGCUCACUGGCUCGAUACUGACGCUGAGGUGACGAAAGCGUGGGGAGCAAACAGGG